AACGCUAGCUACAGGCUUAACACAUGCAAGUCGAGGGGCAGCAUCAUCAAAGCUUGCUUUGAUGGAUGGCGACCGGCGCACGGGUGAGUAACACGUAUCCAACCUGCCGACAACACUGGGAUAGCCUUUCGAAAGAAAGAUUAAUACCGGAUGGUAUAAUUAUUCCGCAUGGGAUAAUUAUUAAAGAAUUUCGGUUGUCGAUGGGGAUGCGUUCCAUUAGGCAGUUGGCGGGGUAACGGCCCACCAAACCAACGAUGGAUAGGGGUUCUGAGAGGAAGGUCCCCCACAUUGGAACUGAGACACGGUCCAAACUCCUACGGGAGGCAGCAGUGAGGAAUAUUGGUCAAUGGACGAGAGUCUGAACCAGCCAAGUAGCGUGAAGGAUGACUGCCCUAUGGGUUGUAAACCUCUUUUAUACGGGAAUAAAGUGAGCCACGUGUGGCUUUUUGUAUGUACCGUAUGAAUAAGGAUCGGCUAACUCCGUGCCAGCAGCCGCGGUAAUACGGAGGAUCCGAGCGUUAUCCGGAUUUAUUGGGUUUAAAGGGAGCGUAGGCGGGUUGUUAAGUCAGUUGUGAAAGUUUGCGGCUCAACCGUAAAAUUGCAGUUGAUACUGGCGACCUUGAGUGCAACAGAGGUAGGCGGAAUUCGUGGUGUAGCGGUGAAAUGCUUAGAUAUCACGAAGAACUCCGAUUG
rnacentral:rRNA from 1 species